rnacentral:rRNA from 1 species
UACAGAGGGUGCAAGCGUUAAUCGGAAUUACUGGGCGUAAAGCGUGCGUAGACGGUUAUGUAAGUCGGGUGUGAAAGCCCCGGGCUCAACCUGGGAAUGCCAUUCGAGACUGCAUAGCUAGGGUGCGGAAGAGGGAAGCGGAAUUUCCGGUGUAGCGGUGAAAUGCGUAGAUAUCGGAAGGAACACCAGUGGCGAAAGCGGCUUCCUGGUCCAGCACCGACGUUCAGGCACGAAAGCGUGGGGAGCAAACGGG